UACGUAGGGGGCAAGCGUUGUCCGGAUUUAUUGGGCGUAAAGAGCGUGUAGGCGGCCAGGUAGGUCAGCUGUGAAAACUCGAGGCUCAACCUCGAGACGUCGGUUGAAACCACCUGGCUAGAGUCCGGAAGAGGAGAGUGGAAUUCCUGGUGUAGCGGUGAAAUGCGCAGAUAUCAGGAAGAACACCGAUGGCGAAGGCAGCUCACUGGGACGGUACUGACGCUGAGACGCGAAAGCGUGGGGAGCAAACAGG
rnacentral:rRNA from 1 species